rnacentral:rRNA from 1 species
CUCGUAGGCGGCUCGUCGCGUCCGGUGUGAAAGUCCAUCGCUUAACGGUGGAUCCGCGCCGGGUACGGGCGGGCUUGAGUGCGGUAGGGGAGACUGGAAUUCCCGGUGUAACGGUGGAAUGUGUAGGUAUCGGGAAGAACACCAAUGGCGAAGGCAGGUCUCUGGGCCGUCACUGACGCUGAGGAGCGAAAGCGUGGGGAGCGAACA